rnacentral:rRNA from 1 species
CCUAUCUGCCGUGGGCGUUGGAAGAUUGAAGGGGGCUGCUCCUAGUACGAGAGGACCGGAGUGGACGAACCUCUGGUGUUCGGGUUGUGUCGCCAGACGCAUUGCCCGGUAGCUAAGUUCGGAAUCGAUAACCGCUGAAAGCAUCUAAGCGGGAAGCGAGCCCUGAGAUGAGUCUUCCCUGAUACUUUAAGUAUCCUAAAGGGUUGUCGGAGACUACGACGUUGAUAGGUCAGGUGUGUAAGUGCUGUGAGGCAUUGAGCUAACUGAUACUAAUUGCCCGUGAGGCUUAACCAUACAACACCCAAGGGGUUU